rnacentral:rRNA from 1 species
UACAGAGGUGGCAAGCGUUGUUCGGAAUUACUGGGCGUAAAGGGCGCGUAGGCGGUUCGGUAAGUCCUGUGUGAAAUCCCUCGGCUCAACUGAGGAACUGCACGGGAGACUGCCGGGCUUGAGUUCGGGAGAGGGAAGCGGAAUUCCGGGUGUAGCGGUGAAAUGCGUAGAUAUCCGGAGGAACACCGGUGGCGAAGGCGGCUUCCUGGACCGACACUGACGCUGAGGCGCGAAAGCGUGGGGAGCGAACCGG